CGACCUCACCCGGAAGCACUUUCUCAAGAGCUCCGCCGAAACAAGAUGGCGGCGCCCACCAAAUUAUUAGAAACAUGAAAAUCAUGGAAAUAUUGAGUUGGAAGAAACACAUGGAUCCUCCAGUACCUUUGCAAUGUGCAAGAAAACAAGUUGUCCAUCUUUAGAAGCUCCAAAGAUGGAAAAGCCACAUCUUCUAGAGAUACAACCCAGGUUCCAUAGGUGCAGCCCCGCCUCCUCCCCAUGUGGGGCAGAAGAAGCAGGGUCCAAGGCAGAGCUUUAUCCAGGCCAACCAAACUAGAUGAGGCUGGUAAGAAAGCUGUCUCAGUCCCUUACAACAAGGAAAGAAAGCAC